rnacentral:misc_RNA from 1 species
CCUCCUCAGAAAAAAGAAAGCCCUAAGCUGAGAAACCCCACUGUUUGAAUUUCCUCUCUUCAUUCCUUUCACAAUCUUCUCUAUUCUGCGCCGCUAAAAUCCCCAAUGUUAUUAUUUUUUUUUAUUUGUUAAUAUUUAUCUCUCCAAAACCUAAUUCUUCCCAUCUCUCUCUCCCUCUAAAUUACGGCUUUAGAUCACUUUCUUCUAUAUUCUCCCAGCAUAGAUCUUUUGGUUCUCUUCCACUUCAGGUCUACUCACCAGUUUCCUCUUUAAGAAGAUUGCGCUUUUGCUACAUAUUCAAUGGCUACUGGUGUGGAUAUGUCUCUUGAUGACAUAAUAAAAAAGAACAGAGAGAGAGGUAGAGGGCGUGGUAGGCCCCGACGUGGCCGUGGCCGUGGCCCAGGUGGGCCCCUCAAUGGUGGAAGAAUGGCAGGAGCAUUUCCUAAAGCUCCUCUUUCAUUGACUGCUCGGCCAUCACAAUACACAAUUGCCAAGCCUCCACGCAGAAUCAGGAGUUUACCUUGGCAGCAUGAUUUGCUUGAAGAUAG